rnacentral:lncRNA from 1 species
UCUCCGCUAUCACCAAAUAUCUCGCAGUCAGAAUGUUGUAGUUCCCAAGAAGUCACUUAUUCUAAUGAAGAUUCUGAUUUCGAUUAUAUUACCGAAGAGGAAAAAGAGACGAUAAGAAUUCCAUUUACAAGAAAAAAGAAAUUGUAGAUUUACACAUUAAACAUCCAAAAUGGAGUAUAAAAACAUUGCAAAAAAUGGGCAGUGCUAAAGAAUUGAAAAAUAAAUUUUUCCUAAGCAGAUGGAAGAAAGAAGUGACAGAAGGACCAAAGAAUCGAGAAAAACAGAGAGAAAUUAAUCGACUAGUUUAUGAAAAAUUUGCUCAUUCUAGAAAAGAACGUAGAACUAUUAGGAGAUCUAAUCUGCGACAAGUGGUUGUUCAAAUAGCACGAAUUGUAUAUCCCGAACUCCCAUUUCGUGC